rnacentral:rRNA from 1 species
GAUGAACGCUGGCGGCGUGCUUAACACAUGCAAGUCGAACGAAGCACUUUAAUCGAUUUCUUCGGAUUGAAAUUUUAGUGACUGAGUGGCGGACGGGUGAGUAACGCAUGGGUAACCUGCCUCACACAGGGGGAUAACAGUUGGAAACGGCUGCUAAUACCGCAUAAGCGCACAGUACCGCAUGGUACGGUGUGAAAAACUCCGGUGGUGUGAGAUGGACCCGCGUCUGAUUAGCUAGUUGGCAGGGCAGCGGCCUACCAAGGCGACGAUCAGUAGCCGACCUGAGAGGGUGACCGGCCACAUUGGGACUGAGACACGGCCCAAACUCCUACGGGAGGCAGCAGUGGGGAAUAUUGCACAAUGGGGGAAACCCUGAUGCAGCGACGCCGCGUGAGCGAAGAAGUAUUUCGGUAUGUAAAGCUCUAUCGGCAGGGAAGAAGAAAUGACGGUACCUGACUAAGAAGCACCGGCUAAAUACGUGCCAGCAGCCGCCGUAA